UAUUUGCAUUAGGGAUCGCAGCGGAUACCGGCUAUGUGGCUAAGGCCGGUGCAGUAUGAGCGUAGAGCCCGGGCCGGA
rnacentral:sRNA from 2 species